AAGCGAGAAAGAAAGAGGGGUUGGGGGUUUCUUGUCGCAGGAGAGACGGCACUUGCUCUUGUGUAGCAAAUUGCAAGCGGCAAUCGCCGCUCUCCUGUGACAAGAUACCCUUCAGCUUCUUUCCUACAUUCUUCGCCCUACAAAUGUUUCUUAAUUCAUACCAGCUAAGCUGCCAGGCUUGAUUCUUCUAUUGUCUUCUGGAGUGAUAAAAUCAGAUCGUCCAAGCAAAUUCUAGUAUCUUUCAUAAUAGUUUUGUCGGUUAGAUGCUCAGCAAUAUCAGCCGUGGUCAUAUUGGCUUCCCCCAACGACUCACUAAUCUUGGGAAAUAAAGGGUGUGUGGUUCCAUGUUCAGAUAAUUCCUAUCUAGCCAGGACUUUGAAUGCUUCAAAGCUACAGUAGGACAGCUCUACAUGCUUAUCCAUCCGUCAUUUCCAAACCAAAGUUGGGUGAGUAUCACUACAUGAUUAAUUGUAAAGACCAUGAGUCUUUCUCCCACAAGCUGACCACUGCACAUCCGUGAAAUUCUGAACCCCCAGAUAAUUUAACCUUGCUGGUAUGGUACUUCUGUAUUUUUUUUUUUUUUUUUUUUUUACCCUAGAUUCUUCCUUUUGUCCCCUUCUUCAUUCCGCUUUCCACUUUCUGGUCAUGAACUCAUUGAAAGUGAUUUCAAUCUAAAGAUUGAACAAAUUCACCAGUUUCUAAUAGUAUCUCCCCAUUGAAGUCACCAAGGCGCUGAGGGAAGUAGAGCUGAACAUACACACACACAUACACACUAGCCAAACGCAUCCUGGUACUCCAUCUUCGACAUCCUCUCUUCUUCUUCCCUGGUGCUGCUCACCCUCUUCCGCUUGGAAUCAUCCUAGUUGGAUCAAAUUUGAGAUUUUUAUUCGCCUUUUUUUUUGUAUUACAAUUCUUUUUUAUGCGACGGCUAGUAUGAAGAAUAUUUAUUAAAUUUUUUCCUUGUUGACUAGUCAAAUAAGCAAGGGGGUAUUCAGAAUAUUUGUCGUACAACAUAUUUGAAAAAUAAAUUAAAUAAAAUUGUAAGAAAAUGGGUGUUGCUGCA